rnacentral:rRNA from 1 species
AGUGAACGCUGGCGGUAGGCCUAACACAUGCAAGUCGAACGGCAGCACAGUAAGAGCUUGCUCUUACGGGUGGCGAGUGGCGGACGGGUGAGGAAUACAUCGGAAUCUACUUUUUCGUGGGGGAUAACGUAGGGAAACUUACGCUAAUACCGCAUACGACCUACGGGUGAAAGCAGUGGAUCUUCGGACCUUUCGCGAUUGAAUGAGCCGAUGUCGGAUUAGCUAGUUGGCGGGGUAAAGGCCCACCAAGGCGACGAUCCGUAGCUGGUCUGAGAGGAUGAUCAGCCACACUGGAACUGAGACACGGUCCAGACUCCUACGGGAGGCAGCAGUGGGGAAUAUUGGACAAUGGGCGCAAGCCUGAUCCAGCCAUACCGCGUGGGUGAAGAAGGCCUUCGGGUUGUAAAGCCCUUUUGUUGGGAAAGAAAAGCAGCAGGUUAAUACCUCGCUGUUCUGACGGUACCCAAAGAAUAAGCACCGGCUAACUUCGUG